rnacentral:lncRNA from 1 species
AUAUCGCCAAUUCCAUGAUGCCUAUUAACCCCAUCAAUUUGGUGUGCUUGUAACAUGUACUUAAAACCACUUCCAUGCAUGCAGCUAGCAAUGUUUCUUAAAAAAAUAAGAGCUAGCAAUAUGAACAGAAGUAUUGAUCAGAGCAAGCCGGGGCUACGACUACUCACUUAAAUGGAGUUGAAACGCGUACGUUGUGACAUUCAUCCGUACCGUGCGGUACUUAUUUUUCUUACUGUUGAAGUGGCCGUACACAUACACAUGCAAUUCUGAAUUUCAUAUAUACUAGUUCUUCUAAAGAACCGCUAAGAACAUUGCCAACUGAUGAUGAAAAGUUUGAUGCCUGGAAAAUAAAUAUAGGAGAGGAGAGAGAGAGAGAG